rnacentral:rRNA from 1 species
GACGAACGCUGGCGGCGUGCCUAAUACAUGCCAGUAGAACGCUGAAGAGAGGAGCUUGCUCUUCUUGGAUGAGUUGCGAACGGGUGAGUAACGCGUAGGUAACCUGCCUUGUAGCGGGGGAUAACUAUUGGAAACGAUAGCUAAUACCGCAUAACAAUGGAUGACACAUGUCAUUUAUUUGAAGGGGCAAUUGUUCCACUACAAGAUGGACCUGCGUUGUAUUAGCUAGUAGGUGAGGUAAUGGCUCACCUAGGCGACGAUACAUAGCCGACCUGAGAGGGUGAUCGGCCACACUGGGACUGAGACACGGCCCAGACUCCUACGGGAGGCAGCAGUAGGGAAUCUUCGGCAAUGGGGGCAACCCUGACCGAGCAACGCCGCGUGAGUGAAGAAGGUUUUCGGAUCGUAAAGCUCGGUUGUAAGUCAAGAACGGGUGUGAGAGUGGAAAGUUCACACUGUGACGGUAGCUUACCAGAAAGGGACGGCUAACUACGUG